UGAAAGCUAACAGGUACCGAUGCCAGAGACGGUGUGAAGGGGAAGUGAUAGGUUGAAGACACCGGCUGCAUCCUUACAGGAAGCAGUGGAAGGAUUUGCGGCCGCGAGUCUCUCGGGUGUCAGGUCCACGAUGGCAAGCGUUCGCCCUUGGGAACGUUCGAGGUCACGAAGUAACGUUAUUUAUGCCAGCUGCAACCCUUGCCACAAAGCUUGAGGCAUCCUAAUUACAAACACAACGGCAGGGAGCCAGAGCAAUUCGGUGAUUUUCCAUCAAUAAAAUGGUUUCCACCAGCAAAA